rnacentral:rRNA from 1 species
UACAGAGGUCUCAAGCGUUGUUCGGAUUCAUUGGGCGUAAAGGGUGCGUAGGUGGCGCCGUAAGUCAGGCGUGAAAUUUCGGAGCUUAACUCCGAAACUGCAUUUGAUACUGCGGUGCUUGAGGACUGGAGAGGAGACUGGAAUUCACGGUGUAGCAGUGAAAUGCGUAGAUAUCGUGAGGAAGACCAGUGGCGACGGCGGGUCUCUGGACAGUUCCUGACACUGAGGCACGAAGGCCAGGGGAGCAAACGGG